AUUUCCAGUAAACGGUUAGCAAGAUCUCUUUUAAAAAUGUCAGAGCUCUUUCUGAGUGGAGAACAUUUCUCAGAGAAUGAUUAUAACGUGCCCUGUGACUGCUUGCACUUCCAUCACGACUUCGAUGCCUUGCUGCACCCUUUUGCCAAUUGCUAGACUAAGGGCUUCUAAGUGGGAACUUCCUAACACAAAGCAAGAAUCACAGCCGAAAGGGGCUGACCUUUGAUUAUCUGAACUUAGCUUCAGAACCCAUUAAGACCCCAGUGGAAAUUCCAACAAUGUGGCUUAUUCACCAAGGUGCAGAUCCCCACCGGUAAAGCUGGAAGUUGCUGGGGGAUUUGCUCCCUCUGAGAAGUGCUAAUCAUUAACAAUAGACUCCCACCAAGCGGUAAUCACUCUAAGUUACAGAAGAAAAAUUCAAAAUUGCGCCGGUGGUGAUGGUGGCUUGGUUACUCUCUGGCAAGUCUUAGAAAACUCAGAUAGGAAGUUUCUGUGUACUAUAUUUUAUUGUUGUUUGUUCAAUGUAGAUUCCAAUUUACAGUAACUUACAGAAAUGACUCCAUUUAGGGCUCUUUUCUCAUGGAAAUAAAUAGUAAUUUAUGUACUAGCUGUCAUUUAGGCUUCAAAAGUAAGUGAAAUAAGUGAAUGCUUGAUUUGAUUUUCAGGAUUUUCCAAAGGCCAUUUCACCCCACUUCCCCAAUUGUUUCAACCAGUAUCUAGAAUUCCUGUCAGUCAAAUCAACUUGGGAGCUAUGAUGUCAUUUUCAAAAACCUUGGGAUUUCAAUAUAUGUAGCUACAUUGUAACUCCUUCCCCAAAGUUAAUAGCUUAAAACAGCAGGUCAUUACUUUGCUUGAUUCAUUGGUUUACUGGGCUUAGCUGGGCCACAUGGUGUGUCUGUGGCCCCUCAAGCAUUGGACUGGGAAUUCAGUUGGGGCCAGAAUAUCCAAGAGUGCCUCUCACCCACCAGUGUAUCCUCCAGAUGGGUUUCACAUUGGGGAGUCCAGCUUGGGCUUCUUUAUAGUAUGGUAUCUGGCUUUCAAGAGUGUAAGCUCCAAGGUACAAGUGCUUGUCAUGCCGGUGCUUGCAUCAUGCUUGCUAACAUCCCAUUGGCUAAAGCAAGUCUCCUGACCAACCCGAGAGUCAUUGUGGGACUAUAUGGAUAUAGUGAGAUCAUGGAGAGCCCCCACAGUAACAGUUGGUCCCAUCAGACGAAAAUGUUAAAUGUGAAAGAUAAGUAUAACUCUCCUUAUAUAAUAUUUUAUUAUGUAAAAGAUGCUUUUCUCAUGUUAAGUCUCACAAUUCUGUAGGGUGUGAAAAUCAUUUGGAAUUGCUGCCUUUUCAUAGAUGAGGAGAACAUGCAUCCUUGAGAAUAGUAAUAUAAUAUUUAAAUUGAAUCCUUAAAUGAUUUGACCAAGACAGCAUAGAAGAUAAACAGGACAACUGUGACUUGAGUCUAGUUUUUCUGACUUUAAGGAUGGUUUCAGUGCUGCUGUUCCACAGUAACCACAGUAUCUUUAGCCCCCCAACACAAAAUGGCAAAAUAUUGGCCUAAUAUACCAAACUGGUCCUCUAGAAUGCAUAUUGCCAUUUUUAUAUCGUCUUUUGAGAUUUUUAUUAGGUGCCACUGAGAUCGUAGAAAUGGAAGAACUCUAGUUACACCUGUAAAGAUCUUUUUCUGACAAAAGAGUUUAUGUGGAUAUCCUCAGUUGCUUGCAAGGCCACAGUAGUGUAUAGCUUCAUGUAGUGUCACAUUAUUAAUUCAUAUGUUCAGUAAAUAUUUGGUGAGUGCCUGUUUUAUGUUCCUGGCACUGUCUUGGGUGCUGGGGUUAUGCAUGUGAACAAAACAGACCAAAAAAAUCCCUGCUUUUGUGGAGCUUAUCCUCUGUUAGAAAAAAAUCAGAGAAAAUAAAGGGAAAAAAAGUGUGGAGGGGGGGGUCGCAGUUUUAAUUGGAGUGGACAGGGUAGCUCUCACUGAGAAAGUGAUAUAUGUGAUAAGAGUUAAAGGGAAUAAGGAAGAGAGACAUGCAGAUAUUUAGGAAAUGAGCAUCAUAAGCCAAAAGAAGAAUAAAUGCAAAAUCCCUGAGUUGGGUAUGCUUGGUUUAGGAAACAACAAGGAAGCCAGUGUAGUAAUGGGGCAUCAUGGAGACAAGGUUAGAGCAGUGCUAAGGACUAGAUCAUGUAGGUUCUGGAUGUCAUUACAGGGACUUUUCAUUUGCUUUGAAUGAGAUGGGAAGCCACCACUUGAUAGAGAGGCCACCUAACCUAUUCUUCAACUUCCAGAAAAAGCUGCCAAAGGAGAUGGAGGGAUACUUAUUACAAAUGCUGAUUCUAACCCAGAUCUUUUUAAAUUGCUCCCAGCUGCAUCCUAUGUCCACUAAACUUUGUGAAGUACUGCCUGACCUAUUAGCACAAUUCAGCUUUCAAAGAGCAGAUAAUCAACCUCAAUUUUACCAUCUGGGUAAUGCUAAAUGAGGCCCACUUCCAGUUGGGUUAAUAAAGCUAUGAAGAGACUGCAUAUUUCUGCAAACCAGCGCUGAUCUAGCAUCUUAGAAACUCCCCAUAAGACCCCAGGAAGAAGUAUCUGCAAAAUCUCUGAGGUGUGCAUGUGGAAUCUGCACAGCAGCAUUAAGCAUAAAGCACUGGGUUUCCUGUUCCUUUCUCAGAUCUGGAAUUAUUAUCAAGCAAAUGUAUCACAGCCUGUAGCUGAAGAGCAAAGUCCCUCUGAACCCUUGAACCCCUGAAGCCCCUUUUCCUAGACUGAUUUUAGAAUGGGUAAAUGACUCCUAAAACUAGCCAUGUAGUAAUAGAAUACUUCCAAGUUCUUUCAUCCACAAGGAACGACAUGUUGGUUUCAAUCAGAUUUAAUUUUGGUGUAAUCUUAGAUUCAUUAUCUUUUUCUUACUAAUAGAAAAGAGAAACUAGAAAAUAUAGUUUGGGGUUGGAUUGAAGAGAAACAAAAAACGUGGUUUUUGUUUUUGAAAUUUAUAAGUGUAAUUUCAAAUUACAUAAGCAUAGACUAAAAUGAAAUGUUUGGAAAUUCGAUAAUAUAUUUUUUCCUUAAAUUAAUAGUGUGUUUCAAAAUAUUGACUUUAGAACAAGCUACUAAGGCGAUCACAUACUUGGAGAAUGCCAGCUUGGUUGUUUUGUUUUGUUUUAAGAAUGCUAAGAAGCUAAGAGCUGAAACAAGCUAGAUAAAGCAAUAAAUUGUCUCUUUUGGGUCUUGAUGCACUAAUCACUUCUUCAAAAAACAAAACGAAACAUUUUUUUCUUCUUCCACUUUCUGUACCCCAUGAAACUUGCUUUCUGUAACCAGCUAUUUGUUGGGCUUUCCCACUGAUUGUUGGAGGUAAUGACCAUUCACAUAUUAUGAGUUACCUCCAGUUGCUUUAUAUCCUUACUGUAUUUCCAUUUGCAUGUUAAACAAUAAUAUAAAAUCAUUUGUAAAAUGGCAUUUUCAGAAUACCUUAAACACAUAUCAGUUCCCUUUUUCUAAUCUUCAAAAUUGUCCAUUUAGAAGUUCCCAUUGUGGCUCAGUGGGUUAAGAACCUGACAUAGUGUCUGUAAGGAUACAGACAGGGAUACAGAUCCCUGGCCUCACUCAGUGUGUUAAGGAUGCGCUCGGAUCUGGUGUUGCUGUGGCCAUGGUGUAGGCCUGCAGCCAGCUGCAGCUCCAAUUCGAUCCGUAGCUCAGGAACUUCCAUAUGCCUUAGGUGCAGCCAUUAAAAAAAAGGCAAUAAUAAAUUUUUCAUCUCUUCAAAUGAUGCAGAUAGGUGGUCAAAUACCUUUUAAAUUAACCUUGAAGCAAAAUGACUUAAUCAAGAGCAGGGAUAGCCUACCAUCUCUAGGAGUGAUACGAGACAAAAUGAGUACUAGUUUUCUAAUAUAAAUCACAUAAUUGGAUUAGAGCUUUUUGUGUAUUUUAUUUGUUACUUUCUAAAAUGGAAUAGAGAACAAAAGGAGUUAAGGAAGGAUGAGCAAUACACCUGGCCAAGGGGGUCAAGGAAGGGUUUCGAUAGCAUAAAUUAAGAAACAAUAUUUCCUUUUGUUGUCUUGAAAGAAAGCUUUACAGUGUCCAAAUUGAGCCUAGACUAAACAGCCCCUAAAGUAUGUUCUAAAUGUAAAAUUUUAUUUGAUACUAAAAAUUUGUAAAGAUUCAAGUAACAUUGAAAUGAAAAAGAUAUUCAAGAAAAUAUAAAAAGACAAGCACUCGCUACCUUGAAUCUGUAAUUGUACCAAUUACAUAGAAAGCCUGGCUUUGGUAGUAGUUUUCAACAUGGCAACUUGAAAUAUAAGAAAUAAUUUACAACACACAAUACAGGUGCAUGACUAGAAUUUGUUUCAGCAGAUAUUUUCCAGGACAAAGACUCUACUGACAAAUUAUGCAUAUUUAGAAACUAUAUUAACCUGGUUUUUAAAUAAUAAUUAUGCUUAUAUUUUGCAUGGUCUACUCCCAGUUGUUGUAUAGUGAAUAUAUUAUGGAGAUGUUCAAUUUUGAGUUAAUAAUGGUUAUUAACCACUCUAAGAAAUGAAUGUUCUAGCAAUGCAUAUGCUGGUUAAGAUUCAACAAAAAUGCAUUCACUUAUCUAGGAAAUAUUUACUGACCUCUUAUAUGCAAAGCACUAUGUGAAACACUUGAAGAUUUACUAAGAUAAACCUGUUAGUUAUUUCAAGGUAAUUACAGUUCAGUAGAAAUUAAAAGAUCAUUAUCAGCAAUAGAAAAAGUAUUUGACUUAGAAGUACAGCCUGAUGAAGGAGGCAGUAACAUACUAUUCAUUUUAAUAGAUAAUAAUAAAAAUAGUUAAAAUUUUUGAAAAGUAAUUAUUUAUGAUUGCAGUGUUGAAAUUGUCAUGCAUUUUUAGAAGUCUGAUAGGACCUGGGUGAGGAGGUCAUGAAAAAUGUAGUUAUUAUGGAGAUUUCAGAAACUAGAGGACUUCUAGAAAAAAUGGGGUUCUUUAUAUAUUCAUUUUAUUUUCAGUUUCCACUAUGGCCGUAAUUAAAGUUUAUGUUUCUUUUAUUCCUCUCUUCAAACUUUAGUUCCCUGACUUUCACUAUUAACCAUAUACCAAAAGUAUGUCCAUGUGUGCAUAUAUUAAAGGGUGUAAUGCCUAGGGUAAUAAAUGGAAAUUCAAAAGUUUGCUAAUCCAUAGUGGGUCAACUCAAUGUUCAUUCUAUAAACAACCAUGAAAUAAGCUAAAUAUUAUAAAAUUUUUCAUCUCAGAAACAAAAGUGCCUGACAUAUUUCUUUUGACUUUAUUCCAUUUUCUCAGAAGGAGAGCAGUGUGAUUACCUUUCUUGAUAGAAAAAUAAUAAAGGAACCAUAGGCUAUUCAAAUAGAGAAAUCGCAAGUAGAUAUUUCAUUGGCCACAAUUACACUUUCCUAUUUAGUUGUCCCAAAUAUUUUCUUGGAACAGUCUGAGUUGCAAAUUACUAAAGAAAUAAACAUCUCUUAUUUCAACAUAUUAUGAACACUGACGCAUGCUCCCUCAGGAAUACCUGUUAGUAAUGAGUCAGUUAUUUGGGGUGAUUUGAAACUUCAUUAUGAGGCAAACCAUUUUAGUAGUUUUUGGAAAAACAUGAUUUAGGUGUUUUUCUAAAGUGUAGUUUGUUUUUCUAAAGUGUAGUUUGUGUU
rnacentral:lncRNA from 1 species